rnacentral:tRNA from 1 species
GAAGGUGUAGCUCAGUGGUAGAGCACCUGCUUAGCACGUCUGAGGUCCUAGGUUCAAUCCUCAGUACCAUCU